CCCGGCCUAAUCAAUCUGUUCUCGCUAUGCUUGGCGCUCUUCUGUCUCUCGUUCUUCUAAAUCCUCUGCAAUUAUUUCAUUUUCACUCGUUUUUCUUGCCCUGUUUUUCUUCUUUUCUCAUUUUCUCUCCGCUCUCUUUCAGAUUAGUAUCUCCUGUGUCUCUGUCUCUGUCUCUGUCCGGCUCGUUGUCUUUUUCUGUGGUUCUGUCUCUCUUAAGUGCGUGUGUGUGUGUGUGUGUGUCGUCUUUUCUAUUUCCGUCUAGUCUGAUGUGUUUCUCUGUCUCUCCCUCUCCCCUCCCAGACACACGCGGGCGCGCGCGCAUAGACACACACACACACACACACACACACACACGCCUCCCUCCUUCCCUCCUCUCGCUAUCACCGUAGGACCCUCCCCCUCCCACUUAAUUCCUUCCAUCUGCGGAAUCGCUUUGCGGGCCGGCUCCGCCAAGGGGGGCCCGGGUUCCUGCCCCAGGAAGGACUCCCCGCCUCCUUCCCUCGCCUUCCCCCCCUCCCCCUCUCCCUUCUCCUAUUUCGGUUCUGCGCCGGCCUUUUCCUCCGCCCAGACCCCCGGCCCCAGCCCAACCCGGUGCCUCCGCGGGCCGCCAGGACCCCAGAUGGGACUGCGGGAGCUCGGGAAGACGACUGUCACCCAUCUUCCAGAACGACCCAGCUACUCCAACUCAGCAAGAUAAUAUGCCAUCUUUCCAAGUCAAGAGUUAUCCUUCUCCAAAAGAUUGAGUACCUCUUUCCGUGACAAGAGCUACCUUUUGCAGUCAGACAGAACUGGUUUAAAUCUCUGCUCAGCUGGUGCUUCCCAUGUGGCUUCCAACAGCUUCGGAUCUACAUGCCUUCAAGAAAGAAAGAUGCUUCCACUUUCAACAUGAUGAGUCCCAGAGAAGAACCCUGGUUAGCCCAGCUUAGGUCACGGAGAAGAUAAGAGAAACUGAGGCUCAGAGGGGCAAAGUCCCUCAUCCCAGUGGAGCAGGAUUCACUGGAGGACUUCUGACUCCAGCUUGGAUUCUUUCCAUUGUUGUGUACUGCUUCCCUCUUUGCGGACCCCUGAGGUGAGGAGAGGUCAGGGCUGGGGCUGGGUGUGGGGCCUUGCUGAAUGUGGCCAGACGGGAGCAGCCUAGACCUCAGGACUAUAGCCACAGGGCACGUGGCCAUCGCGGGGCACUCCAGAGCUCCCAUGGGAACUGCUGGGGUGGGAGGCAGGCAGAGUGUUUGUGUGUCUGGGAGUUCACAUCCUCCAAGUAAACACAUCCAUGAGGGAACCGGGGCGCCUCCCUGUGACUGAGACCGUUCGAUUGGCUUCUGAGCAGUAAACUGUAGCUGACCUGGAGACACCGGCUGAUACUUCCGAAGAAACCCAUCUGAGGCUCCACCGCCUCCAAGAUGCCUGCCCAAGGACCUCCCCCAACCCCCUACUCCAGAUUCGGAGCCCUUCUGUGGCCAUCAUGUGGGAGAUGAGAGGCCUGGCGGUGGUCAGCGUGCUCCAGGGAAGUCUUGGAGGAAAUGCCAUCACUGUUUACACAUCCCCGUGGGGCUCAGAUUGAGGGCAGACGGAACAGAUGUGUCCUGGAAGCCCCAGAGAAGACAUAGGAAGAUUCCAACCCGAUGUGAUGAGAGACUUCCAGUGGUUAGAGAUGUCUCCAGGACAAAGGCAACGCAGAUUUACUGGUACAGGCCUGGCAACAGUGAGAACAUUGCAUAAGCCCCUGGUCACUGGUGAAAUGGCUGUGGAAUCAUUCUAGGAACAAAAUUUUCAUCCCAUCCUUCCCAUGGGAACAAGACCUCCUGUGUAAUUUCCAGUGGGGAAACCAGAGAGCUGGGAAGCCGUUUUUAACCCCACUGAGAGAUGUGCUAAUGAUGCAGGAGAAAAAAAUGGAGGUUAAAAUAAACUCUAAGAAAAACUCGCACAUGUUUAUGAGGCCCUAAACUGUGCUGUCGUAAGAGGCUCGGAAACCUCCCUCUCCAAAGAAAGCAGACUUUGACUCAUCUUAAGAUGGCUUAAGGGCUGAAGGAAUACCACAAGGCCCUUCAAAAAUGAACCCCAGGAGAGGAGAUAGGUGUUCUCUCAAGUUUCAAGUCACACAGCUGAAAGAAAAUAAAGACAAAAGGAGCUGGACGUAAUCACCAUGCUCUAGCUGUACUCAAAGCCACACCCCCACCCCCCACCCUUGUGGAAGUACAGGUGAACAUUCUGACAAUGCUAUGCGUGGACUUGAGCACUUAGGCAACGGGAUGGAGGCUGACUUCUCACUGUCAGAGUAGGAGGUUACAAAUAGGUAGGAAGAAGAGGCUAGAAUAAAUGCAUAUUUGGCUUAAUAUAGAUACCAUAUAGAUGGCUACAUAUAGGAAUAUUUAUAGGUAUGUAUAUACACAUGGCUUAGUAUACAUACAGAUAUCUUUUUGCUCUAUCCGCUGAGCAAGCCUGGAAGCAACAGCAUCCCAACAUCAGUGCGCACACCCGGUACCCAGAUUUUGGUUUCUAACACUACUCUCCAAUAAAAGGAACCAGGACUCCUUGGAGAAAUGGUUGAUUCUAGAACUGGGGCAAGAAAUACACAAAUGAGCCAGGAGCAUCUUGCAGUGCUAAAAAGUAAGAAAGUGCUCUCUUGUGUGCUCUCCCUCUCUCUCGUGCACGCACGCGCACACACACUGCACACACAACGAUGGGGACACGUCAAAGGACACAGGAGCCAAGUGAAGGAGUUCCUAACAGCCAAAGCUAGAACCAUUUGAGCAACGAAAUAAAGCAGCAUUGGAUUACAACUCAAUGUAUAAAAUAAAGGUCCAUGAGUCUAUACUGAUAUAAAAGAAUAAACAGAGAACAGGCAAAUCUCCUGCACAGAAGAAUUCCACAUAAUCUAUAUUGAUCCUCUGCCCUUAAGGGGGUGUAACAUAACUCCCCAAUCCUUAAAUAUGAGUUGGGCACAGUGACUUCCUUCCAAAGAUCACAGUAUGGCGGUGGGGGAAGGUGGAAAGAGCCACUUUAGAGUGGAGAAACCUGACAAAUAGUACCUCGGCCAGGUGACCAAAGUUACCCUCAUCAGUGAUAAGCCAUGUUGAUAUUAUGUACUCUUGAUAGAAUGUGAUGAAAAUGGCACCAUGCCUCUCUGUGGUCUUUCUCUCAAGAACACAUAAUCCUGCCUGAUCACUAGAGAAACUUCAGAAAAAAUCCCAACUGAAGGACAUUCUACAAAACACCCAACCAGUACUCCUCAAAAUUGUCAAGAUAAUCAAAAACAAGGAAAGUCUGAGAACAGUUCUAGCCAGGAGGAGACUAAGGAGAUAUGACUGGACACAGCAAGUGUAUUUUUUUAAAUCCAUGGAAGCAAUAAAUCCUAGAUAAAACUAGCUAGAACCCAGAACACUUGAAGAAUCUACUCAACAAGCAGAUACAGAAAUAUUUUCUGAUAAGAGUAUUUUGUUCAAGUUCACUCAUUAUAAGAACAGAUCAAGGAUUAAAAAAAAAACUGGGUCUUUGGAUGAACAUGACAGAAAAGUACAAAUUUUAGUAAAAUCUAAUCUUAGGAUGACAGAGAAAUAAUUCUAUCAUAUUUGUAUUAAAAGGGAGUUAUUAGAAACUAGUGUAAAGUACAUAUACUCUCAUAUCAUCACUUCUGAUUUUAAAAUUUAAGUCCACAAGCACCAUAAAAAGACGUUAGAUGUUAUUCUUGUAGAAUAUGAAGACAUUGGGGGAAAAUGAAAUUUUCCCUUUGGAAUGAACUCAAUAUAUUAUGCCCCCCCCCCAAACAGUCUAAGAACAAGUGUAACCCCUGGAGCCAUUCCCUCCCUCGCUACACAGGUUGGGGACUGUCUGUUCAGCUCAGCAGAAGCCUGAGGCUUCAUUUUCUGGACAGGAUAAAAUGAGGAUAUCCAGACAGGAAGACAGCAGGCACGGAUGAGUGGAGAGUAUUAAAAAUGGGAUUAAAUGUAAGUUUACUUAAGAGAUAAUGUUGAAACCUUCAGUCUUCUUCCCCCGCUCUAAUCUUGAAGCACCAGCAGUGAGGCAUAUAGGAUCCAGGCAUGGACUGCGUAGGCACUCCCUAACAAAACGUCUAGCCUGAUUGCCUGGAGAGAAGCCCAGAGUCGCCAAGCACCCCUUCGACACACACAUGCAUACACCCACGCACGCACGCACGCGCAUGCACGCACAACAUCCAGUCAGAUGUUGGGGUCUUCCUCAGGCAAGAAGACAGCCAAGAAUCACCUAUCUUUUGAGGAAAGCCUCUACUAAGAGACAAAAGCAACUUGGAAGAAGCAGAGGCUGUGUAGGGAGAAAACAUACGAAAAAUGGUCAUGAAUAUCUUCAGAGAGAUGAGAGAGAUUAUUGUAUACCUGAGGCGAAAAGAGGAACCAUAAGAAAGAGCAUCCAGAGGAAAAAAACUAGCCCUUAGAAAUUAAACACAUAAUUAGAACAAAAGUUCAGUACGUAAAGAGAAUGAAAAAGACACGCCAAAGACUAGGAGAACGUAUUUGCAAAACACAGAUGUGGUGGAGCCUUGUAGUUAAGAUAUACAAAGAACUCUUCAAACUGGGAGCGCCUGGGUGGCUCAGUUGGUUAAGCGACUGCCUUCGGCUCAGGUCAUGAUCCUGGAGUCCCUGGAUCGAGUCCCGCAUCAGGCUCCCUGCUCGGCAGGGAGCAGGCUUCUCUCUCUGACCCUCCUCCCUCUCAUGCUCUCUGUCUCUCAUUCUCUCUCUCUCAAAUAAAUAAAUAAAAAUCUUUAAAAAAAAAAGAACCCUUCAAACUGAACAAUAAGGAAACAAGCGACCCAAUUAAAAAAUAGGCAAACUAUCUGAACAGAUUCUUUCUCAAAGAAGAUAUACAGAUGGCAAGUAAACAUAUGAAAGGUUGCUCCACAUCAUAUAUCAUUAGGAAUUACAAAUUAAAAUAAUGAGACACCACUACGUACUUAUUAGAAUGGCUGCAGUCCAAAACACUGACAACACCAAGUGCUGGUGAGCAUGUGGAGCAACAGGAACUCUCAUUCAUUGCUGGUGGGAAUGCAAAGUGGUACAGCCACUUCAGAAUGCAGUCUGGAAGUUUCUUGCAAAGCUAACCAUAGCUUACCAUACAAUCCAGCUCCUUGGUGUUCACCCAAAUGAGUUGAAAACCUUUGCCCACACAAAAACCUGCACGUGAAUGUUUAUAGCAACUGUAUUCAUAAUUGCCCCAAACUAACGGCAACCAAGAUGUUCUUCAGUAGGUGCAUUCAAAAAGUAUCAAUACAAGCAAAUUAUUUUGAAAUAUGGAAGUAAAUACCAGCAGAAUUGUUAAAAAGAGUUGGAAGUAGUUGCUUCUGGAGAAAAAUAAACAAUGAGGACAGGGUAAGAAACUAGUUUUUGUUGUAACAAAAGAACAAUUUGCCUCUUUGACUGUGUCCAUGGAUAAAUGUGAUAAAAAUAAAAACAACAACAAAAAAAGAAAAAUAGAAAAAGAACUGGAGAGAAAGGAAAGCUCACACAUAGACUGAGCACCACUCUGAGCCAGCACUGUUCCAGACAGCUCCUUGUGCUUUUCCUCACUGAUUCCCCCCGCCCCCAACCAUGAGCAUGCAUCACCUCCCCUAUGAUGUAGGUGAGAAAACAGAGGCCCAGAGACACCAAGACCCUGCCUGGGGACAGAUGCCCAGCAAGAGCUACUCAAUCUGUCCAUAUCCUCUUCCCACUCCUUCGGGCAGCUCUUACCAACACAUUAUUUUUCUUCUGAGUUAGUUCCUCUAAGGAGUAAAGGUCUGGUCCCUUCCCCAGUGCCUUCCUCCAGCUCCUGCUGACUUGGGGACAUAACUCUGUCAGUGGUUUAAUUCAAUCCAGAUGGAAGGCUCCACUUGGCUCUUAAAGCAUGCCCUUUGAGAGUGCUGAGAUUUGCAGAUAAACCUUGAGAUGUGAGAGGAGAGCAAGAAAACAGGAGGGUGACAGCAUAUGAAGUUUGGGGGUGGGGGAGUCACUUAGGGAUGAGUUUGAACCUGAUGGAGAGCCUUCUGCACAGCUGUGAGGCCUGUGGCCAGGGUUUGGGCCUUGGGCCACCAGCCCAGAAUCUUAGAGGCAGAAACUCAUGUGCUCCGCCCAUCACAAAUUCCCCAAACACUUUUGAAUGCCCAGCGGCAGGCGUUGGGGUGGGAGCUGUGGUACAGUGUUGAAUCAGACAUAAACCUCUGCCUUGAGGGAUUCAUGGUCUAGCAAAUGAGACAGUAAGAUGGGCAGACAGAUGGGUAUCCAAAUAUUUAUGGUCCAGUGGUACCAGAAAGAAACAUUACAGUAGAGGCAGGGGCAGUAUAGGAGGAGGACAAGAGUCAGAGUCUCGAAGGAACUGACAUGGAGCUGGGUUAUGAAAAAUGAACAGGCACAUGCCGGGGAAAGAAGUUGGGAGGCCCACCCCAAGCCAAGAAAAGAGCAGGUGCAAAGGCAUAGUGGCUUGGAAGGAUGGUUAAUCAUAGAAGCAGGGUGAGAAAGAACUCUAGGGUUGCUUGGAGCAGUCCCAUAUAGCUCGGAGGAGGGGAUGUCAUGAGACGUGGCCUCCAUUCCUGGUCCUUCCUCUUGCGGGUGGUAUGACCUAGGGAAAGUCACCUGUACUCUCAGGGCCUUGGUUUCCUCAUAUGUUUAAUGAGGAAGGUAGAUUUGAAUUUUUUAAAACAACAUGAAAAUAAUAUAUUACAUUGUAUUCUUAAAAAAAAGAAAACCCAAGUUAUAUACCUGUGUGUGAUGAAAAACAAGUUUCUUGGCCCAAUCCUCCCUACCUCUGACUUAUGUCCCUAAGGCAACCUCUUUUAAUCAUUUAUGUUUUUGUUUAUUGAAGUCCUUAGUCUCUGAAACUCUGAAUAAAAUGUUUAUGGAUCUGUUUUUUGA